GGUGGUCCGGUUCUGCCGAGCCCUCUACCAUCUACUGGAGUACUCCUCGCUACUUCACGAUCGCAAAGGGCCCCCUAUACAUCUGUCCAUAUCCAGUGAUCCCUGUGAAACCUCUAGUCUGAUGUUAACUAGGAACCGAGAUGCUCGAUGGCGGAUUGCCUAAGGCUGUGUAGCCUAUCUCGAACCAAAAGUCGAGUCGACUCGGCAAGCAUGUCAG
rnacentral:lncRNA from 1 species